rnacentral:rRNA from 1 species
UACGUAGGGUGCGAGCGUUAAUCGGAAUUACUGGGCGUAAAGCGUGCGCAGGCGGUUCGUUGUGUCGGCGGUGAAAGCCCCGGGCUCAACCUGGGAAUUGCAUGGGAAACUGGCAGGCUUGAGUGUGGUAGAGGAGGGUGGAAUUCCGCGUGUAGCAGUGAAAUGCGUAGAGAUGCGGAGGAACACCGAUGGCGAAGGCAGCCCUCUGGGCCAACACUGACGCUCAGGCACGAAAGCGUGGGGAGCAAACAGG